rnacentral:rRNA from 1 species
CCUACGGGAGACUGCAGUGGGGAAUAUUGCACAAUGGGGGAAACCCUGAUGCAGCGACGCCGCGUGAGUGAAGAAGUAUUUCGGUAUGUAAAGCUCUAUCAGCAGGGAAGAAAAUGACGGUACCUGAUUAAGAAGCCCCGGCUAACUACGUGCCAGCAGCCGCGGUACUACGUAGGGGGCAAGCGUUAUCCGGAUUUACUGGGUGUAAAGGGAGCGUAGACGGCAGCACAAGUCUGGAGUGAAAUGCCGGGGCUUAACCCCGGAACUGCUUUGGAAACUGUGCAGCUAGAGUGCAGGAGAGGUAAGUGGAAGUCCUAGUGUAGCGGUGAAAUGCGUAGAUAUUAGGAGGAACACCAGUGGCGAAGGCGGCUUACUGGACUGUAACUGACGUUGAGGCUCGAAAGCGUGGGGAGCAAACAGGAUUAGAUACCCUAGUAGUC